UACGUAGGGUGCGAGCGUUAAUCGGAAUUACUGGGCGUAAAGCGUGCGCAGGCGGCUUUGCAAGACAGAUGCGAAAUCCCCGGGCUCAACCUGGGAACUGCAUUUGUGACUGCAAGGCUAGAGUACGGCAGAGGGGGAUGGAAUUCCGCGCGUAGCAGUGAAAUGCGUAGAUAUGCGGAGGAACACCAAUGGCGAAGGCAAUCCCCUGGGCCUGUACUGACGCUCAUGCACGAAAGCGUGGGGAGCAAACAGG
rnacentral:rRNA from 1 species